AUAGAUCAAUUUUAUUUUUUAAUAGUCAAUAUAACAAAUAAAUAUAAAAUUUUAUCGCAUGGAUCAAUACUAUUUUUUAAUGGUCAAGAUAACAAAUUUAGUCCUUUCUAUAAUUUAUUCUUAUAUUUUUAUUGCAGAAAUAGUUACUUAUUCUUCAGUUGCAUUUUUUUUAUAUAAUUCCUUGACUUUUUUUUUAACUUUAUUUAUUUAUUUAUUUUACGAAAUUAUCCCGCCGCAACACGCGGAUCCUUCACUAGUUAAGUAUAAAGACAGUGUCGACUAGGGACGUCAAUGAAUACAAAUAUCCAAAAUUUUAUCUAAACCCGAAUCUGAACAGAGUGGAUUUACUCGAUGCUAAAUAAAUAUAGUUUUGAAUAUGGAUAUAAAAAAUGAACACCAUAUAGAUUUGAAUUCGGGUAUGGAUUUUGAUUAUAUUCGAUCCGAAUCUAAACCCAAAAUUAUUCUAUAUUAUAUAUAUAAAUGUUUGAUGUUGUAUUUAAAUUUGUAUUUUAGAAGUUCAGAUUUUCGGGUUUGGGUUUCAGAUUUUUAGUCAUGUUCGGGUUUGGAUAUGAAUUUUUAAAAUCUGUUGGAUUCAGAUUUCGGGUUUGGUAGUCGGGUUUAGUAUGGGUUUUUAAAAAUUUA
rnacentral:lncRNA from 1 species